rnacentral:rRNA from 1 species
AGUGAACGCUGGCGGUAGGCCUAACACAUGCAAGUCGAACGGCAGCACAGGAGAGCUUGCUCUCUGGGUGGCGAGUGGCGGACGGGUGAGGAAUACAUCGGAAUCUACUCUGUCGUGGGGGAUAACGUAGGGAAACUUACGCUAAUACCGCAUACGACCUACGGGUGACAGCAGGGGAUCUUCGGACCUUGCGCGAUUGAAUGAGCCGAUGUCGGAUUAGCUAGUUGGCGGGGUAAAGGCCCACCAAGGGGACGACACGUAGCUGGUCUGAGAGGAUGAUCAGCCACACUGGAACUGAGACACGGUCCAGACUCCUACGGGAGGCAGCAGUGGGGAAUAUUGGACGAUGGGCGCAAGCCUGAUCCAGCCAUACCGCGUGGGUGAAGAAGGCCUUCGGGUUGUAAAGCCCUUUUGUUGGGAAAGAAAUCCAGCUGGCUAAUACCCGGUUGGGAUGACGGUACCCAAAGAAUAAGCACCGGCUAACUUCGUGCCAGCAGCCGCCGUAA